CAUGCAAGUCGAGCGGAGUUUUGAAAAGCUUGCUUUUCAAAACUUAGCGGCGGACGGGUGAGUAACACGUGGGCAACCUGCCCUUGAGACGGGGAUAACUCCGGGAAACCGAGGCUAAUACCGGAUAACACAUAUCUUCGCAUGAGGAUAUGUUAGAAGGUGGCUUUUAGCUGCCACUCAAGGAUGGGCCCGCGGCGCAUUAGCUAGUUGGUGAGGUAACGGCUCACCAAGGCGACGAUGCGUAGCCGACCUGAGAGGGUGAUCGGCCACACUGGGACUGAGACACGGCCCAGACUCCUACGGGAGGCAGCAGUAGGGAAUCUUCCGCAAUGGACGAAAGUCUGACGGAGCAACGCCGCGUGAGUGAUGAAGGUUUUCGGAUCGUAAAGCUCUGUUGUUAGGGAAGAACAAGUACCUGUUGAAUAAGCAGGUACCUUGACGGUACCUAACCAGAAAGCCACGGCUAACUACGUGCCAGCAGCCGCGGUAAUACGUAGGUGGCAAGCGUUGUCCGGAAUUAUUGGGCGUAAAGCGCGCGCAGGCGGUUCCUUAAGUCUGAUGUGAAAGCCCACGGCUCAACCGUGGAGGGUCAUUGGAAACUGGGGAACUUGAGUGCAGAAGAGGAGAGCGGAAUUCCACGUGUAGCGGUGAAAUGCGUAGAGAUGUGGAGGAACACCAGUGGC
rnacentral:rRNA from 1 species